AAAAUAUGAUUUAAUAUUCGGAGUCCUCUCAAGGCGGCUGUAUUGAUUUUUCUUUAAUAGAACAAGUAAAAGUAGGUUGUGAAUGGCAAGAGGAAUCUAACGAUACGUCAUUUAAAAAAAUCCGUCCAGUAUCCUAAUACCUAGCUACUGGGUGUACUGAAUCAUCAGUACUUACACCCAUAACCCUUCUUUCUGGUUUAGUCACAUUAGAGUAAAAUGUUAAUAUUGGGGUAGACCACGUACAAAUACUACAAAUGUAUAGUUAAAAAUAGAAUUCAUAUUCCUCCGAGUUUCCUUUUAAGAGAAUGUCCCCUGGAAGUGUAUAAGCGUUAAACUUAGAUUCAGCAAGUAUUCUCUAUAACAAGAUGUAUUGUUCUGCAAAGAUAUCGAGGACUUUUUUGUGUAGAAUUUAAUGUGUUGAUGGUACACAUUUUCCAAGAUGGCUCGGAUUCCUCGAGGUCCCCAAAUGUUAAAUGGUUUGGGCAUGAAAAAGGGGCCUUUAAUUUAUAUACAUAAUAAAUUUCAUGACUGUUACAGAGAUUUCGAGGUUGGUCCUAAUCCGAUUAUGCUACAUUGUGCGUCCGCAGCAAAUUCGGUUCUCCAUACAAAUGUAGUUACGCUCUCAUUUUAAAUCGACUUGCUAGAUUGCUCUGAAACUUUGUACUUACAAUAGGAUAUGGUAUGUCUAUGCCUAUAAUUAAUUUAAAACAUAAAUGUGAAAUGAGAGCCAAUUAAGUUCAAUAUUAAGAAUAUGUGUCGUUGUUGACUCGCCGACAACGGAAUUGAGAUCUAUAUGGGUGCCAUGUUCUGUACUGUGUAGAAAAUCCUGAAAUUAUAAAGGAUUUGUCUUGGCUAGUUUUUACGUAUAGGCUACGUAUCACCGAAACGUCACAAACACCACGAAGGUUCGGCUUGUACGGGCCCUCGUUUUUCCUAUAUUCUUAUACGCUGCGGAGACCUGGACUAUCCGAAAGACAGAGGAGAAGACGAUAGACGCCCUAGAAAUAUGGUGCUGGAGGAAAAUGCUGGGGAUAUCCUGGACCGAGUUUCGGACUAAUGUCUCCAUCCUUAAAGAACUCCGUAUCAAGCAGCGCCUUUCGACUCUCGUAAAGACCUGCAUACUCAGUUUUUUCGGUCACGUCUCGAGGAGGAACAACGACUCCAUAGAGCGUCUAGUGGCCACCUAUGCGAUGGACUGACCAAAUCAAAUCUGCCACGAAGGGUCCCCUGAACGCAUUUGCCAGAAUGGCCCCCAACCGCGAAAAAUGGCGAGAAAUCGUACGGCAAGCAACAUCUGCGCCUGAUAUCAGCAGUUGACCACGACGCUCUGCAAAGAGUACAACGACAAAGAAGAAGAAGACGUAUCAUAUUUGUCUAAAAUUUGGUUUGUUGGUACACACACAAGGGAUAGUCUCUAGCUAGGUACGGGGUGCCACACUCGUCAGCGCGACGACGAUAUUUUUUACCUUUUACCUAAAAAUCUCAAAUUUGUGUACGGGCUCAGCUCCUGUUUCGUCUUAAGCCUGAAUUUAACAGAUUCUGACUGACAGGGGGCUUUGAGCAUGGUGUUGCGUUCGUUUUCAAAUUUUGAAAAAAAGAACUAGCCUAACAACACAAUAAAUGCUUGUUUUUCCGCAUUCUUCACUAUAUCUCCCUGUCUCACUACUAUCUGACCUUCUAACCCAUAGGGGAAAAUAUACCUUAUUGGGGCUACUCCAUCUUCCUCAUGAUAAUAUAUUUUACUUUACUGAAAAGCAAUCGGUACAUGUUACAAGAUGCACAUUGUUAAGAGCCGGGGUUAGAACCCACGACCAUUGGUUUUAAAAUGAAGCUUUGUAUAUAAUUUGUAUUUUUAUAAUAAAUCUGUUUUCUUGUUGACAUUUUGUGGUCUUGUAUUGCUUUAUGUUAAUUGUCAAGAUAGUUCUUUCAUCCUGGACAAUUGUCACAUGCGUCACAUGUACGUUUUAUGAUAGAUCUACAUCGACGCAACUGCAUGUCAUUGUCAAAGCGCAUAUAAUCACUACGUAUUAAGAGACGAGACUUCCAUACUAGCGAGUGGAAUCACUUUGUUUCGCAAAUCAUUACCAAAAUGUACGACAAACUGUCAAAGAACCAUAGUACCAACAUAAGCGAUUUAAAUAGUGUAGUACGCUACACGCUUACGAUUCUUAUCGAUAUCGAUAAAAUGGGGAGGGUUGAAACAUAGGCUCCUGUCUACAAAUUUUGUACUCGAAAUCAGGUUAGCAUCGAGUCCACAUUUAAGUUGUAUGUUAUAUAGUGGAUAGUUCUUAAUUGGACUACUAUCUGGUCGGGCUUAAUGUGGACCCGAAUUAUUUUAAUACAGUUUUUAAGUCGUGUUUUUUUAUUUUAUUAAAUGCUUGAUUUUCAUAAUUAUGUGCACAUACAUGUUUGAAUAAAUGUAACUUUUCUAUGUAUCAGGUCUUCGUUCCCAACAAAUUUGGCCCACUGCCUGCAUCUGAAAACAUACAGCCUUGGAAAAACAUGACUUUAUCUACAGUUUAUAUUCCAUGUGUUUGCUAAUGAGAUGAUCAACUGAUUAUUUCGCGCUAAUAUGCAUCUAUAAAUCAUGUUUUUCGGCAUCCAGUUAUCAACAACCCUUUAUCAAUGCUUUAACUUUUUAUGUAUUUAUAUGUCUGUUAAUCAUGAGAACGGGUCUGGCCUUGUUGGCAGCGACCCUGCCUAUGAAGCCGAUGGUCCCAGGUUCAAAUCCUGGAACGGGCAUUUAUUAGUGUGAUGAGCAUGAAUAUUUGUUCCUGAGACAUGGGUAUUUCCUAUGUAUUUAUAAAUA